rnacentral:lncRNA from 1 species
GCAACUCUUUCUAUUGAUAAAAGUUGCAUUUGUUAUUUUAUACAGAAAGAGUUGCAUUUGUAUAGAAAAAAAGGUUGCAUUUGGUGCUUACAAAUUUUGUGGACAUAGCAUUUUUGUAAGAUAAAUUUGCUUAUGGUUGUGUUUUGAAAUAAAUGAUUUUUAUUUCGACAAUUUGAUAACUGAUUUACCUUAGACUUGUUAUAUUCGUAGUAAUGCUCUUAUGUUGAAAAACUGAAACUUUAUUUGACUCUGGAAUUUGGACCCAUUUAAGUAAUGGUAAAUAUGGAAGCCAGUAGAAUGAACUCCUUCCUUUAGUGUCCAAAAGCUCUAAGAAGCAACAAAGUUUAGUAAAUGCCCUAUAACAAGCUUACAAAAAUUUCCUGUACUAGAAGCUCUUGGUUCUUUGAAGGUUUGAUGUCUGAUGGCUUUUUAGGAAUUUAAUACAGGUAAAUCACUAAAUCUGGAUAGUAUAUGUGAUGUCCCCAAAUUUGGGUACCUUUAAAUCUGGAUAUGGUGUUACACGGUAUUAAACAUUCACAUACAUUUAUCUAUUAACCUUGGAUAACCUUGUCAACGUGAAAGUAAUUACUAUCUAUUACAAACAUAUUCUUACAUUCCCAAGUUUUAUACCUUUAAAUCUUCAAUACAUGAUACUUUACAUAGUAAUAUUACAUUACUUCUAACUAUUACAAAGAGUUUAUAAUAGCCUCUACUCGUGCAUCUUGCUCUUCUCUUUGUCCUUACCUGAACCUUCUACGCGUUCGGGAUUUGCUAAAAACAUUUAAUUUAAAGUAAGAAUGAACAUUUACAUGUCCAACAAGUAUUACAGUUGUAUAACAACAAAAUCAAGAAUCAUGCAUUCAUACUUUAAAACUCUUCAACAACUGACCAAUAGUUGUGAAGCGAUCUCGAAUAACAGGAAUAAUAACUUUCUUUCUUUUAAAAUAGUUUUGAAACAACAUACUGACUUCAUGCUAAGCGGUCAUAAGACCAAAAACUUUCCUUUUUAGUUCAUUUGAAAAGGUUUUAUACUAAUUCAAUCGCAAACUGUCAUACUUACGGGCACGUUGGUUGAUCAGCCCUUUGUACACUGCGUUGAUUAACAUUACAUGAAAAAUGACUAUUCGUGUUUAUACCAUCACCCGACAGGGUAGAUCAGCAUUACCGAUAAAAAUUCUCCCAAUAUUAGGGUAGUUCUUCUCAGACUAGAGUCCAAACCAAAACAAUUUAGUUGGACAACUCUACUUAACCUCAAUAACAUUUUAGAGAUUUAUUUUCAAAUCAAUGGAACAUUUUAACAUGUGUCUAGCCGAUACAAUUGGCAUUGACGUCCCUCUUAAACAGUUCAUGAAUAUUAUAACUUAAAAACAUAAUCAACAUGCAUUAUGGCAAAGCUUGAACAACUUAUACAAAUACCGAAAGAUUUACAUAAGUUCGAAGUUCACACAAUGUGCAAGUAUUAUGUGAAUCAUGUCAUUCAUACGGAAUAUUCCUAAGAAUCUAAUCCAAUAAGCGUAAACUGGUAUUCAAUACGAAAGUUGAAUGGAGUUAGAAUACUUGCCUUGAGCGUUCUUUAAACUUGACGAUAAUCGUCAUUCAAAUGUCCUACACAUUUAAGUGCACAUAGACAUACCAUUUAGUCACCUUAGUCGUCAAUUAUGGUUUACAUUAACUCUAUUCCAUGUUGUAUAAUGUUCGUUUCAUUAGAAUUGGAACACUUUUUAAUUUCAUUAACACUCGACUCGGCGUUUUGACGUUCAUAAGUCGCAUGUCCGACUUACCUUAUGUGAAUCCCUACACGACAUGCUCUUGCGUAUGCUUAGUACGUUCGCCCAAAUUGUCUACUAAACAUUCAUUUAUGUUAAGUAUUUUACAUUCGUAAUGCUUGUCUGUUUAUUAGAAUUAAAACAUUACUUAAGAUUACAAAUUCUUGUUAAGACGUUACAACAUUUCUACAUUCAUACGCCCGACUUACCUAUGCGAAUGCCAACACCACACGACCAAGCAACUCGGAAAAUCUCAUUUCUUAAACUCUGGACCCCGGGUGCUGCCGCGCCAUGGUCAUGCCUAUGCUUGGCGUGGCCGCGCCAACCUGGCAGAGAGCAUUUUUAGUUUCUGAAAUUUUCAGCUUUGAACAAUUUCAGUGCACCUACUUUGAAUCCUCAUAACUUGCUCGUUCGAUAUUGGAAUGAGCUCGUUUUUGAUUCAUUUUCUUCCGUGUAACAUCCUUUACAAAUUCCCCGGACGAAAUAAUUUUUUUGAUCCUCUAACUUACCGGAAAAUUGGCUCAAAAAUCCUUCGUGAGCCAGUUUUCGCUAAAUGAUGUUUUCAACGUCGGAUUUUCAAAUCUUCACAACUCGCUUAUCUGAAAUCGGAUUAAGCUCAUUCUUGAGCCUACAACUCACUUAUACUAUGAAUUACAAAACCCCCAGAAAAUUGGAAUUUUCCGGAAGCGCUAAUUACCCGUAAACUUGGCCCGGAAAUCGUUUCAAGCUAGGGUUUUUCAUGUUUUACGUCUUUUACUGAAAAUUUGUCAUAAUUUCGUUAUGGCUAUUUUUCCUUCAUUCCACUUGGAACAUCUUCAUAACCCCCUUAUCUACGAUUCCUUCUUCUUGGAAUUCGACUUGACCAUACUAACAAUCAUUAACAAUAGUCCGUUUACAAUCCUCUACGAAGUUUUUUUCCAUCAUGUUUAGGCUAACGUUUUUAGUUUUUUGUUCACUUGACAUGCAUAUUACCGAGUAAUUUACAAGUUAUAAACCUCAUACAACUUCCCUAUUUUUCCAAGAUCCUUCAUGAUCUUCCAUUUAUAACAACAACCACCACCACCAACUAAUCAAAACUUAGAAAAGAGAUGAAGAUGUUAGGGUUUUAGGCUUACCUCUUGUUGUUGUUGUUUUUCUUCUUCCUUAUGCUUGAUCAAAGCUAGCUCUUUCUCUCCUUCCUCUCUAUAUUCGACCCUCUCUCUCCUUUCUCACUAUACUCUCUCUUGCACUUUCUCUCUUGCUCUCUUAAAACACUUACAAUUUAGUAAAGUGAAAUGAAGGUAUACUUGGAUUAUACCUUCAUCUAACUACUAACCAUCCUCUAGUUAGGUUAACUAACUAAGGUAGGCUAAUCAAGGUCAAGCAAACCAUCCACAAUUAGGCUAACUCAUGUUAGGUUAAGGGAACAAAAU